UGGAGAAGUUAGAAGUUAGAAUUUACAAUUUGUCGGAAUCGCGAAUAAGGAAGUAAAGGUCACUUUUUACAAUUUUUUUACCUGACCCUGUAAUGAGAACUGAAAUAACACAUUUUCUAGAGUUCUGUCAGUUAUAUAUGUACGUGCUGAAAAUUGUAUCGAAAUCAGUUGAUACGGAAACAAGCGACAGACAUCGAAAGAUGUAAGAAUCUGUACAUGUUAGCCCGAAUAUCGCGAAACUGCGAUUUUUACUAUUUUUAAUCAUUUGUUGUUCAUAGUAACGUUCAUCGAUUUCGAGGAAAAUUUCAGCAUGUACGCAUAGAAAAUAAGUGUGAAAUCCACCGCAACGUAAUUCUAAACCUCAUUGAGCACGAUUUUCAUUGCAACGUAAUAUAUUCAUCAGGAAGAACGAAAGUCUCGAAAAAACCAUGGAUCGCAAAUACCCUGCCUCCACCCCACCCCUUGAAAAAGAAUGUUAAAAUUUUAAUAAUUCUUAAACUGGUUUUAUUCACAAUGUGUUUACAUUUAUGAUCAACUUUAAUGAGAAAGUAGCGUGCUAUUUUACGAAGCAACAGGAUAUUAAAAAUUGCCUCGUGAAAUAUAUGAGAACACAAGAAUAAUGGCAGAUCUCUGUGUGCAGAAGACAUUCCGCAACAAUGCGAUUUUCAAACGGCCGCAUUAACAAUUUGACUAUCAAGAAUUAAUAUCGCGACAUCUGAAUGCAGGUCGAGUCCUUAUCAAUUGGCGUGAAGAAGAACAGGUUAAUUAUCACCUUCGCUCGUGCUGAUCCACUAUUAGACUUACAUAAAACAGUUCGCCGAGUGAAAAUCAAUCAGAUGACAGUGCGAUGAAUAAUUCGAGAAGAACGCUUACUACUAUAUAAAAUUUCUUUUACUUUUUCACUUUUCCAAGCGUGUAUUAUUUACGGAUGAAAGCAGUUUCUCAAGUUGUAGUAUCCUCAAUCGACAAAAUAUCAGGAUUUAAGUUUAUAGGAAUUCCCAUGCAACGGUUGAAAGAUCUAAUCAAGGAGAAUCGUAUUAUUGGUUGUAUCCUUCUGGCUAUAUCGAUAACAAGUGCAAUAUAUUUGCGAUUCGAUUUUCAUGCUCACGUCUCUUAAGCAAAUUACGUGAAAUUAUACCACGCCAGGGUAGUCACUUCGUCUAUUUUAUGCACGAUGGUGCUCCAUCUAACCAUAGCCAACUGGUUCGCCAAUUUUUAAACGAAAAUUUUGGGUUACCGUGAAUAGCAAGUGGACCUGCUCCUCACAUUUCUUCUUCCACUUUUCUUCCACAUUCAAUCUCCUUGUUUAUGAGAUUCGUCGGCGGUCCUUUUGGGGGGAGAAGAAAUUAUUACUGUAUUAUUAUUGUAGUUCAAGUGAACAGAUUACAUGUGAUUGCAUGUGACUUUUUUCAUACAAAAUCAAUACGUAAUCUUGGGGAGUAACUUGGCGGAAAUGUAGAAAUGCGAGUUCAGGGCUAUUUAAAUAGACGGAAAGGAAAAAGAAAAGAAGAAGAAAGGAGAAAGAUAAAAAGGUGUGGGGUAUAUAAUGGUGGAUCUGAGGCAUCUACGUGCAAUAGUAAGAGCUAUUUUCCCUGCAUCUGUCUGCAGCAUGUAAACACAUUGUACAUAAAACCAGUUUAGGAAUUAUUAAAACUUUAACAUCUCUUCCGAGAGGGGUCACGUGCGACCAGUGGCCCCUUUGAGACUUUUGUUCCUCGUGACGAGUAGAAUACACGUGGAAUAAAAAAAUGUUGACCCUGAAAAUCAUGCUCGAGGUCGCUUUUUACACCUCUUUUUACACUUAUUUUUUUGUACGCACUGUACACAUAUAACUGACAUAAAUCUACAAAAUGUGUUGUAUAAAUUUUCAUUAUAAACUUAGAUAAAAAAGUUGAAGAAAGUGAUCUUUCGCUUUAUUCCACGUGAUUUCGAGUAAUUGCACUUAGAAAACUAAUUUGCAUCUAGUGAAGUAAUCCAAAGAAUAUCAAGUCGUUUGGUUCAAUUUUAGAAAAGUGUUUCUGUUUUAAAGGCUGUCCGAAUUUUAAAGGCGACCA